rnacentral:rRNA from 1 species
UACGGAGGGUGCAAGCGUUAAUCGGAAUUACUGGGCGUAAAGCGUGCGCAGGCGGUUUGUUAAGUCUGUUGUGAAAUCCCCGAGCUCAACUUGGGAAUUGCAAUGGAUACUGGCAGGCUCGAGUAUGGUAGAGGAAGGUGGAAUUCCCGGUGUAGCAGUGAAAUGCGUAGAGAUCCGGAGGAACACCAAAGGCGAAGGCAGUGUCCUGGGGAGUACCUGACGCUCAGGUGCGAAAGCCAGGGGAGCGAACGGG